rnacentral:ncRNA from 2 species
UGCUUAUCUAGAGAGGUGGAGGGAUUGGCCCGAUGAAACCUCAGCAACCGGUCACUUAAGAUACGGUGCUAAUUCCAAUAAGCGUAUUGCUUUGAAGAUAAGUC